GGCGUGUCCAGGGGGCGGCUAGUAGCGUGUGCCACCGUGGAAAUAUGUACAGACAUAAAGAAGACGCCCUCAAGAAAGGCCUGAGUCCAGACCGAGACCCAGAGAAAUGUAAACAAACGCACCAGUCAGACUUGAUAUAGGAGUGAAUUUGUUGCUUUUUAAAGCGGCAGUCGGUCUGUACAUCUGUGAGGUGGCGAGGGGUGUCGCCAGGGGGCGGCUAGUAGCGUCUGCCACCAGGGAAAUAUGUAAAAACAUAAAAAAGACGCUUCUCAAGAAAGAGAGGGGCAGUCGGUCUGUACAUGCGUGAGGUGGCGAGAGGCGUGUCCAGGGGGCGGGCUAGUAGCGUGUGCCACCGUGGAAAUAUGUACAGACAUAAAGAAGACGCCCUCAAGAAAGG